rnacentral:lncRNA from 1 species
GGUGCGCAGUCUCUCAUGGUUCUAAAGUAACUUUUUUAAAAAAAGACUAUUUGAGAGCACUUGCGAGCAGUGGGGAAGGGCAGAGGGAAAGGAAGAAGCAGGCUCCCGGCUGAGCAAGAUGUUCAAUGUGGGGCUCCAUCCCAGGAGUCCUGUGAUCCUGACCUGAGCAAAAGGCAGACGCUUAACAGAUUGAGCCACCCAGGUUCCCCUAAAAUGACUUUUUUAACUGAUGUUUUCAUAGUGCUGAAUAUAGGAAAACAUGUCCUAUUUUUUUCACAGGAGUUUUGUGUUUACAUGAGUAAAAACACCAAACAAAAUGGCUCACAAUAUCUGUGUUCACCUGAGUGUGCAAAGAGAAAGAAGAAAGGAUUCUAGUGUUCAAGGAUUGCCUACUGCACACCAGCUUUUUUACAUAAUCAGGAGCAAAAUUGCCGUGUCCCUGGAUGGAUAUGUGGUUCCUCUCACAAUGGACAUGUACAACCGGAACACAGAUUCUGUGUAUUUCCAAAAUGUACCAUCUUUAACCCGGGAUUGACGGUACAAUUAUGUAUCAUCUCUCUACACGGAGAAGGACAAGAAUCUGGUCAUCUCUUCAUCCCCGGUAUCUUCACAUACUCACUACACUUUUGGUAAGUAAACGACCCUUUAUCCGUUCGCCUCAUUUCCAAAUUUUCAGUGUUGAGCCAUC